ACGGAAGGCAGCAGUGGGGGAUAUUGCACAAUGGGGGAAACCCUGAUGCAGCGACGCCGCGUGAGCGAAGAAGUAUUUCGGUAUGUAAAGCUCUAUCAGCAGGGAAGAAAAUGACGGUACCUGACUAAGAAGCUCCGGCUAAAUACGUGCCAGCAGCCGCGGUAAUACGUAUGGAGCAAGCGUUAUCCGGAUUUACUGGGUGUAAAGGGAGCGCAGACGGUUUGCCAAGUCUGAUGUGAAAGGUGGGGGCUCAACCCCCAAACUGCAUUGGAAACUGGUAGACUAGAGUGUCGGGGAGGUAAGUGGAAUUCCUAGUGUAGCGGUGAAAUGCGUAGAUAUUAGGAGGAACACCAGUGGCGAAGGCGGCUUACUGGACGAUAACUGACGUUGAGGCUCGAAAGCGUGGGGAGCAAACAGGAUUAGAUACCCUGGUA
rnacentral:rRNA from 1 species